ACCCCUGCUGUACAGCAAUGCCCUGUUAUUUCAACAGCUUUUCUCCCUGGCCACUCUCCCUGUUAACUACCAGGAAAUUCCCUUUGUAAUUGCCUUCCAUAAGGGGCUUCCCUUAGGUCACCCUCUCCUUUCUCAGUGCUUGGUGCCAUUCUUUAUUGUUAAAGUGAUACAGAACUGGAACAUUUGCUUCAACUGUUCCAUGCUUCUCCAUAUUGCUGCUUUUAACAAUUAGCUCAGUGUUGAACAAUGAUAAAGGACACCUGCUACAAUUCCCCUGUUAGAAAGGACAAGAGCCAGACUUCCUGCAGGACUUCCAGGCAUGAUGAAGACAAUCUGAGCAGCACCUGCACCCCUUUGGAGCCCUCUUCCAGGCUGUUUUGAAGGUCACUGCAUUCUGUUGGAGACCUGCUUCUUCCAAGUUCCAAAGAUAUCGGAAGCCCACUCCACAGUAACUCAUCUGACUGCCCCUGCUCCGCAGAACAGUGUACGUAUUGAGAAUUAUGCACUUUCUGGAAACAACUGAAGACAUUUUUGUUCCAACAAGGUUUCCUAGCUGGAUGAAUAGGUCUCUGCAAUGGGGUCCACUUUAUCUUGUUUUUUAAUUCAUUUUCUGGAUUUUUGGUGCUGUUUUCUAACUAUUGAUUAUAUUUUGCAUAUUGCCUUGGGACAUG